rnacentral:rRNA from 1 species
UGUUGGAGCCAUAUCACCUUGCAGCCCAAGACUAGUUGCCCACUGAAGCUAAGCAGGGCUGAGCCUGGUCAGUACCUGGAUGGGAGACCUCCUGGGAAAACUAGGUUGCUGCUGGAA